rnacentral:rRNA from 1 species
AUUGAGCGCUGGCGGCAUGCCUUACACAUGCAAGUCGAACGGCAGCACGGGAGCAAUCCUGGUGGCGAGUGGCGAACGGGUGAGUAAUGUAUCGGAACGUACCUUUCAGUGGGGGAUAACGUAGCGAAAGUUACGCUAAUACCGCAUAUUCUGUGAGCAGGAAAGCAGGGGAUCGCAAGACCUUGCGCUGAUUGAGCGGCCGAUAUCAGAUUAGCUAGUUGGUGAGGUAAAGGCUCACCAAGGCGACGAUCUGUAGCGGGUCUGAGAGGAUGAUCCGCCACACUGGAACUGAGACACGGUCCAGACUCCUACGGGAGGCAGCAGUGGGGAAUUUUGGACAAUGGGCGCAAGCCUGAUCCAGCCAUGCCGCGUGAGUGAAGAAGGCCUCGGUUGUAAGACGUCUUCUAGCCGGGAACGAAAACGACGAUAGGUUAAGUAACCUCGUGUGGAGUGACGGUACCGGAAGUAAGAAGACACCGG